rnacentral:rRNA from 1 species
CCUGGCGGCAGGCCUAACCAUGCAAGUCGAGCGGCAGCGGGNAANUCNCUUGCUACUUUUGCCGGCGAGCGGCGGACGGGUGAGUAAUGCCUGGGAAAUUGCCCAGUCGAGGGGGAUAACAGUUGGAAACGACUGCUAAUACCGCAUACGCCCUACGGGGGAAAGCAGGGGACCUUCGGGCCUUGCGCGAUUGGAUAUGCCCAGGUGGGAUUAGCUAGUUGGUGAGGUAAUGGCUCACCAAGGCGACGAUCCCUAGCUGGUCUGAGAGGAUGAUCAGCCACACUGGAACUGAGACACGGUCCAGACUCCUACGGGAGGCAGCAGUGGGGAAUAUUGCACAAUGGGGGAAACCCUGAUGCAGCCAUGCCGCGUGUGUGAAGAAGGCCUUCGGGUUGUAAAGCACUUUCAGCGAGGAGGAAAGGUCAGUAGCUAAUAUCUGCUGGCUGUGACGUUACUCGCAGAAGAAGCACCGGCUAACUCCGUGCCAGCAGCCGCGGUAAUACGGANGGUGCAAGCGUUAAUCGGAAUUACUGGGCGUAAAGCGCACGCAGGCGGUUGGAUAAGUUANAUGUGAANNCCCGGGCUCACCUGGGAAUUGCAUUUAAACUGUCCAGCUAGAGUCUUGUANAGGGGGGUANANUCCAGGUGUANCGGUGAAAUGCGUAAANAUCUGGAGNAUACCGGUGCNAANGCGNCCCNUGGANAAACUGACCUCAGGUGCAAANCGUGGGGAGCAANAGGAUUANAUNCCUGGUAUCCCCCCUAACAAUNCCAUUGNAGCUGGUCUNGAACUGCUCCGACUACNNUAAUCCCCCCUGGGAUCGCCCAGUAANUNAUNAUGCGGNCCCCACCGNGACUGGUUNUNUCACCAAACUACUGCUGAUGGGAC